rnacentral:rRNA from 1 species
GUCUAUGGCCACGUUACCUGGAACAAGCCCGAUCCCGUCUGAUCUCGGAAGCUAAGCAGGGUCAGGCCUGGUGAGUACUUGCAGGGGAGACCACCUAGGAAGACCAGGCGCUGUAGGCG